UUCAAACAAAGUGCUGAAAUUACUACCGAACGAUACAACAUUGAACAGACAUCCAACAGGUAAACUCUUCAACAACAGUAGUAAUGUACAAUAACUUACUGUUCAAACAAAGUGCUGAAAUUACUACCGAACGAUACAACAUUGAACAGACAUCCAACAGGUAAACUCUUCAACAACAGUAAUAAUGUUUCCUUGGCCUUCUUUAUUCUAACAUUACCCAUACUACCUG